rnacentral:rRNA from 1 species
ACUCAAAGGAAUUGACGGGGGCCCGCACAAGCGGUGGAGCAUGUGGUUCAAUUCGACGCAACGCGAAGAACCUUACCGGGGUUUGAACUGUACGGGACAGCUGCAGAGACGCAGUCUUCCUUCGGGACCCGUAUAGAGGUGCUGCAUGGCUGUCGUCAGCUCGUGUCGUGAGAUGUUGGGUUAAGUCCCGCAACGAGCGCAACCCUUGCCUCCUGUUGCCAUCAGGUCAAGCUGGGCACUCUGGAGGUACUGCCGGCGAUAAGCCGGAGGAAGGUGGGGAUGACGUCAAGUCCUCAUGGCCUUUAUGCCCCGGGCUACACACGUGCUACAAUGGCUGGUACAAAGGGUCGCAAAAGCGCGAGCCGGAGCUAAUCCCAGAAAACCAGUCCCAGUUCGGAUUGCAGUCUGCAACUCGACUGCAUGAAGCUGGAAUCGCUAGUAAUCGCGGAUCAGCACGCCGCGGUGAAUACGUUCCCGGGCCUUGUACACACCGCCCGU